rnacentral:sRNA from 1 species
GACACUGUUAGUAAAACAGUCGAGGGCUUGCCAGUUGUCGGUGGAAUCGCGAGUGGUGCUCUUAACACAGCCGGAGGAUUGGUUAG